rnacentral:lncRNA from 1 species
AACAGAGAUCCUCAGUAAGUGUGUCGGUCACCUCUUCGCGCGAGCAGGGAGAUCAGAUCGAGAGCAGGACCUCCUCGCCAGUGAUUUGGAAUGAUAAAUGGGGAAGAGAAGGGGGUGAAGUUACCUGGGCGCUCAGGUAGACUUUGAGGCACUCCUCGCACACGGCCUUCUUGCAGCAAGGCAGGGGCUUGAUGGGCUUGUCUUCCAGGCACACCCGGCACAUCAGCACCAUGAGGGGCACAUAGGGAUCCCCUACACCGCCCAGGCCAGAGUAGGGUGGAGCUCCCAACAGGCUGGGCAUGGAGAACGGCUCGGGCGCCAGGUAGAACUCCAGCUCGAUGCUGCCGCCGUCGGGGGAGAGGGAAUCCGUUGGGAGGGACAGUCGGGGGCUGGGGAAGGAAGAGCGGGUGCUGGGAGGGUUCAACACUGGCGGAGCCCCAGGUGGCGACGCGGGCGGCGAGAGCUGCUCCGAGGCGGGGGCCUCGGGCAGGUCGCUCUCCACGCAGUACACGGAGCAGAAGACUUGUCUCUUGGCGAGGGACGGGCGCCGCUGACCCAGCACGUCCAGGACCAGUCCGUCGGCGGCCCCCACGCGGGUCCUGGGCUCCAGCUCUUCGCCGGGGGGCGCCUCCUGCUGUUCAUCCCCUCCCUCUUUUCGAUCCCCAGCUUCCUCCUCUUCCUCCUCCAGCUCCAACUGCAGUGGCAAGGUCUGGGGAUUGAGAGGCCCGGCAUGACUAAGAGAUAUCGUGAAAUUACAACUCAACAAUGAAUUACAGCACAGGCUUUUCACAACUAAGAGACUGUCCAUCAUGGUGCCAGUUUUUCUCAAAAUGGCAUGUGUGCAUGAAAUUCUACAGGCAUAUGGGGUCGUGAUCUGCUAAUCUCCAGUUAUUAUAACUACUUUGAAAAGGGACUUUCCAGCUAUCAGUACACUAUCUCACAAUUACCCUUGAACCAGAAGACAAUGAAUGAUUUGCUAAACAGAUGGCAUAGUCUAUGACAUGCAUCAUAUGUGUGAGCAAUCACAGAAGACUCCUUCCUGUUGCCUUGUGAAGAAGGCUCCUGCUUCCCCUUCACCUUCUGCGCGAUUGUAAGUUUCCUGAGGCCUCCUAGCCAUGCUUCUUGUUCACUCUGCGGAACUGUCCUGAGCUGAAAAGAAUAUGAGAAAUCGGAUUUUACGACAUGGUUAUAGGCGGAAGGGAUUUGCCUUGUCUCAGAUGAGACUUUGGACUGUGGACUUUUGAGGUAAUCCUAGAAUGAGUUAAAACUUUGGGGGAUUGUUGGGAAGGCAUGAUUGUUUUUGAAAUGUAAGGACAUGAGAUUUGGGAGGGGCCAGAAGUGGAAUGAUAUAGUUUGGCUGUGUCCCCACCCAAAUCUCAUAUUGUAUUGCAGCUCUCAUAAUCCCCAUGUGUCAUGGGAGGAACCAGGUAGGAGGUAAUAGGAUCAAUGGGGCAGGUUUUUCCCAUGCUGUUCUUGUAAUAGUGAAUAAGUCUCAUGAGAUCUGACAGUUUUAGAAAGGGCAGUUCCCCCUGCACAUGCUCUCUUGCCUGCUCCCAUGUAAGACGUGCCUUUGCUCCUCCUUUGCCUUCUGCCAUGAUUGUGAG